rnacentral:rRNA from 1 species
UACGUAGGGUGCAAGCGUUGUCCGGAAUUAUUGGGCGUAAAGAGCUCGUAGGCGGUCUGUCACGUCGGCUGUGAAAACCCGAGGCUCAACCUCGGGCCUGCAGUCGAUACGGGCAAACUAGAGUACUGCAGGGGAGACUGGAAUUCCUGGUGUAGCGGUGAAAUGCGCAGAUAUCAGGAGGAACACCGGUGGCGAAGGCGGGUCUCUAGGCAGUAACUGACGCUGAGGAGCGAAAGCGUGGGGAGCAAACAGG